UUAAACUCAGCGGGUAAUCCCGCCUGACCUGGGGUCGC
rnacentral:rRNA from 1 species